rnacentral:rRNA from 1 species
GAUGAACGCUGGCGGCGUGCCUAAUACAUGCAAGUCGAGCGAACGGACGAGAAGCUUGCUUCUCUGAUGUUAGCGGCGGACGGGUGAGUAACACGUGGAUAACCUACCUAUAAGACUGGGAUAACUUCGGGAAACCGGAGCUAAUACCGGAUGAUAUUUUGAACCGCAUGGUUCAAAAGUGAAAGACGGUCUUGCUGUCACUUAUAGAUUGAUCCGCGCUGCAUUAGCUAGUUGGUAAGGUAACGGCUUACCAAGGCAACGAUGCAUAGCCGACCUGAGAGGGUGAUCGGCCACACUGGAACUGAGACACGGUCCAGACUCCUACGGAAGGCAGCAGUAGGGAAUCUUCCGCAAUGGGCGAAAGCCUGACGGAGCAACGCCGCGUGAGUGAUGAAGGUCUUCGGAUCGUAAAACUCUGUUAUUAGGGAAGAACAUAUGUGUAAGUAACUGUGCACAUCUUGACGGUACCUAAUCAGAAAGCCACGGAUAACUACGUG